rnacentral:rRNA from 1 species
CCUACGGGUGGCAGCAGUGGGGAAUAUUGGGCAAUGGGCGCAAGCCUGACCCAGCAACGCCGCGUGAAGGAAGAAGGCUUUCGGGUUGUACACUUCUUUUGUCAGGGACGAAGCAAGUGACGGUACCUGCCGAAUAAGCCACGGCUAACUACGUGCCAGCAGCCGCGGUAAUACGUAGGUGGCAAGCGUUAUCCGGAUUUACUGGGUGUAAAGGGCGUGUAGGCGGGGAAGCAAGUCAGAUGUGAAAACCACGGGCUCAACCUGUGGCCUGCAUUUGAUACUGUUUUUCUUGAGUGCUGGAGAGGCAAUCGGAAUUCCGUGUGUAGCGGUGAAAUGCGUAGAUAUACGGAGGAACACCAGUGGCGAAGGCGGAUUGCUGGACAGUAACUGACGCUGAGGCGCGAAAGCGUGGGGAGCAAACAGGAUUAGAUACCCGUGUAGUC